rnacentral:rRNA from 1 species
GACUACCGGGGUAUCUAAGCCUGUUUGCUACCCACGCUUUCGUCCCUCAGCGUCAAUCAUCGUCUAGCCGGCUGCCUUCGCUUUCGAGGUUCCUCCCGAUCUCUACGCAUUCCACCACUACACCGGGAAUUCCACCGACCUCGACGUGAUUCUAGUCACCCGGUUUCCAAUGCGCUCUCUCAGUUAAGCCGAGAGGUGUCACAUCAGACCUAAGUAACCGCCUACAGACCCUUUACGCCCAGUGAUUCCGGAUAACAUUUGUCACCUACGUAUUACCGCGGCUGCUGGCACGUAGUUAGCCGUGACUUAUUCGUGGGGUACUCUCCUUGCUACUCCCCCACAAAAGCGGUUUACGAUCCGAGGACCUUCAUCCCGCACGCGGCAUUGCUGGGUCAGGCUUGCGCCCAUUGCCCAAUAUUCCUCACUGCAGCCUCCCGUAGG